AGUGCUUGAAACUUUGAUGCAUAAGAUCCAAUCGAUUCAUUGUUGUCCAUUUGCAGUAAUUCAUACUGCCUCCUCAAUGAUUGUAGUUUCACAGCUUUCACCUUUUCUCCACCAUCAUAAUACUUCACCAAGAUAUCUCAUGCUUCUUUAGAUGUUUCAGCAUGAGAGAUCUUAUCAAAAUUUGCCGAAUUCAGUGCAGCCUGAAUUGCAUAUAUUGCCUUGCAAUCUUUCUUCUUCAAAUCUUUGUGAUUGUUUCUUGCCUCUGCAUUUGCAUUUGCAAGUAAUGCUGCAACACCAUUAAUCACCACAUCUAGUGUAUCUUG
rnacentral:lncRNA from 1 species